CCUACGGGUGGCAGCAGUGAGGAAUAUUGGUCAAUGGCCGAGAGGCUGAACCAGCCAAGUCGCGUGAGGGAAGACGGCCCUCCGGGUUGUAAACCUCUUUUGUCGGGGAGCAAAGCGAACCACGCGCGGUUCAUUGAGAGUACCCGACGAAAAAGCAUCGGCUAACUCCGUGCCAGCAGCCGCGGUAAUAAGGAGGAUGCGUGCGUUAUCCGGAUUUAUUGGGUUUAAAGGGUGCGCAGGCGGAGGUGCAAGUCAGAGGUGAACUUGGGAGGCUCAACCCUGUAAUGGAAUUUGACCGGGAUUCUGUUGAGUACGGGAGAGGCAGAGGGAAUUCGGUGUGUAGGGGUGAAAGG
rnacentral:rRNA from 1 species